ensembl:lncRNA
GUAUUGUUGUUAAGAAAUUAAAAUGGAAAUACCAGUGCUUGUCUCCUGAGAUUUGGUUGGAGAACCUUCUGGAUUCUAUUCUGUAGUUUGGCUCCUCUGACCUUGGACACAGCUUUUUAACCUUUCUUAACUCAUCUAAAACGUGCCUCAUAGAGGUUUGUUUUGGGUUUAGAAAUGCUUUGACAUUUUUGGAUUAAAGGUGAAGUGGACAAAAAUGCUAUUCUAAGGAAGCUUGGAGGCUAAUGAAAUAUUUUUAUUAUUCUUUUCAACUUUCGUCUCUGGAAGGGCAAGGAGUGUUUUAUUCUUGGAUCAUUUACUUAUUCAGCAAACAUUUACUGAGUACCAUGUACUACACCAUGACCAGCACCCUCCUCUGCUCUCCUGGUGCGGUGCCAUCAGGCGAUGCUUCUGAAAACACGGCAAAGGACCUUUAUUUCCCUUAUGGAAUGUAUUGCUGUACUUGGAAGGGAUGUUUAGAACUACCACGGCCGUCUUGUGACCAUGAAGGGAGCCAAUCUGAGGGCAAAUAAAAUUUUCUGAGGAUGGUAAAGCAAAGAAAUAAAAACCAGUGUCUUCAAUGACAUCGUUGAGUUCAUGGACAACUGUGCCUGCUUUUCAAUUCAUGUUACCUGGUGUUAUAAUUGUCUUUGUUCCAUCAGCAGGUUUGGAUUGAAGUCUUCUGCAAUGGCAUCCUCACUGAUAACAGAGCAGAUGCAAAUCAUAGGGCUCAGAAAGGUCACAGGGCACUUAGAAAUGGACAAUAGUUCCUCACGUCUGAAAUGCAGGAUAUUGUGGAGUGGAGAGUGUGAUGACGGCUAGAGAUAAGGUGAAAUACUAGACAAGGGUCAGAUCAUGAAGGGCCUUGUAUGUUAGGAUCAGACAUUUGCACUUUAUUUUGUACGUACUGGGGAGGCAUUGAAAAGUUUCAAGCAAGGUAAUGGUAUAAUUAGGUUUGCAGUUUAGAAGCAUUCGUCUGACUACUGUGUGGUGGAUUGAAGAGUACCCUCUGAUAAGACACCGAGGUCAUUCAGUUCAAGAACAAAUGGAUUCACAUGCAGGUGGGUCUCUCUCCAUUAUCCUUCCAUUUUAGCUUGGAAAGACAGAGGUUAAGAAAAUAUAUGCAAAGUGGGAAAUUAGAGGAGCAGACAGUAAGCAUUUCAGAAUUUCAUCAGAGAAGAGCACGUUGGGGGUCAUGGAGAGUUUCAAGAAACAGAUUGGAUUUGAGCUGAAUGCCGAAGGACUUAGAAACCUUGGAGGUUGAGUAGAGCAUGAAACAACACAGAGGAAUGGCAAGUCAAGCUGGAAUGGAGAGUUUUAUGGGGGGAGGAUAAAGAUGGGAUGGUCACUUGCAAUCAAAAGGGCAGAGAAAAGAAAUGAAUCUUUACCCUGAUUCCACCACUUAGCAGUUGUGGAAUGCUGGGUUUGAUAUACUUUUAUUUCCUAAUUGUUUUAAUUGGGAUUACAAACAUACGCUUUAUUAACAUCACCAAGCGAUGUCAUACAGAUAUCGGAUGCCCCCUGAUGUCAUGUGAUGAGAAAGACACUUGCCUGUGUGGUAUCCUUUCCAAAAACCCUAACCCUGGUCUAAUCAUGAGAAGAACAUCAGACAAACCCAAUUUGAGGAACAUUCUACAAAAUAUCUGACUAGCACUCCUCAAGACUGUCAAGCCACCUAAAAAUAUUCAGCUGCUUUUCCUGCUGAAGCACUCAGAUGACCCACAGGACAAAGGCACAGUUCAACCCCUUCAAUUACGGAUGAGCUAAAUGAAGCUGAGGGACGAGAUGUGACUGGUUCAAGGUCACAGAACCAGUGACUGAGAGAACGGAUUAGAACCCACUCUUUUUUUCAGCUUCAUUGAGUGCACAACAGUGGAAGCCACUCUUGCAAGCUCCAAUCAAGGUGUUCUUUCUGCUACCAGAUGAUCAUUGAUCGCUGCACUCAGAGUUUCAGACCUUUCACAUGGGCUCUGGAGAAAGAGAAAGGCUGUCUGACUUAUUGAGGAGGAUGCCAAAAGUUUGUUAACCUAAGUCCUGCUCUUGGCUCACUGUGUUCUAGAAUAACUCAGUUUUCACUUCAGCUAGAUAGAGUAAAAUGGGAUCAUCUGCCUGGGAAAACGGCCCUUUGUGGACAGUCCUCAAUCAUGCUUGGAUUCCGCAUCAUCAGCCACGUCAGCAACGUGUCAUUAACCUGAAAAAACUCACCAGGCCUUCAGAAUGCUGAGUGACAGAUGAGGCGCACCUCCGUGCUCUGGCUCUGCCUAACCACACCACCAUGAAAUACAUUGCUUAUAACUCUACCAUUCCUUCUGUAUCCCAAGGUUACUUGUAGGAGAAAUAGAAACCAAGGCG